rnacentral:lncRNA from 1 species
UGCUCGAAUGAAAAUUUUUGCAGAGUUUUGAGAUAGAGAUUAGAGCUUAGAGAAUAACAUAUCUGGGGUCUCCUUUUUAUAGGCGAAGGAUGCAACAGACUGAUAGCGACGUUUGUAAUCGCCUGGUAGUGGGCCGUUCAAGGCCAUAAGGAGUUUGUUGCAGAGAGUAGUGGCGUCAGGGGCUGUUCAGAGCCACGUGGAGCUUAUCGCGGGGAGUGGAGUAGUGUCUGUUAUCGUGACUUGCCAGAGAGUGGUGGAGCCGCAUGACAUCCGUCACAGGAAGUGGAGUAGAGUCGUGGCCAUUACUGUGACCUGCCAGGGAGUCCAGGCCUGUCGGUC